rnacentral:rRNA from 1 species
GUGGGGAAUUUUGGACAAUGGGGGCAACCCUGAUCCAGCCAUGCCGCGUGCGGGAAGAAGGCCUUCGGGUUGUAAACCGCUUUUGUUCGGGAAGAAAAGACCACGGCUAAUACCUGUGGUUCUUGACGGUACCGGAAGAAUAAGCACCGGCUAACUACGUGCCAGCAGCCGCGGUAAUACGUAGGGUGCGAGCGUUAAUCGGAAUUACUGGGCGUAAAGCGUGCGCAGGCGGUUCGUUGUGUCUGCUGUGAAAUCCCCGGGCUCAACCUGGGAAUGGCAGUGGAAACUGGCGAGCUUGAGUGUGGCAGAGGGGGGUGGAAUUCCGCGUGUAGCAGUGAAAUGCGUAGAGAUGCGGAGGAACACCGAUGGCGAAGGCAACCCCCUGGGCUGACACUGACGCUCAGGCACGAAAGCGUGGGGAGCAAACAGGAUUAGAAACCCCUGUAGUCC